GGAGAGGUGUCCGAGUGGCUUAAGGAGCACGCUUGGAAAGCGUGUAAACGUGAAAGCGUUUCGUGGGUUCGAAUCCCACCCCCUCCG
rfam:Chlamydiae bacterium RIFCSPHIGHO2_12_FTLL_49_9 rifcsphigho2_12_scaffold_5287, whole genome shotgun sequence.